AGGGAACUUCAGGUUCAGUUGAUAAUGUAAAUACAAUGAUGGAUUAAAACAGAGUACUAUCCCAAUAAACAAGAUGAUAACAAAAAAAGAUUGGCAUCUACGUUUGAUGCAUUUCUCAGCUGAUGAAAAUUGUAUAGAAAAAUCUUGAAUUAAUAUUUUCUUUUGAAAGAAAGAAUGUCACUAGAAACAGUAUUGGCAAAGAAGAAAACAUUUACAAAUUUUAUAA
rnacentral:lncRNA from 1 species